GGGCAAGCCUCCCGAGGCGGGAGCUCAGCUGACUGUCCCGUCAGCCCUGAUAGUCAUUUUAAAGACGUGUCAGAGGGAGAGAAAGAGAGAGACGAAAAGGUCCAAAGCUGCAGAUACCACCAAAGCGGCCGGCACAAAGAAAGUGGCAAAUCUGUUUGCUUGUGGGAGGAGGAGCCAGAGAACAGAUAGGUCAGAGGGUGGGUGUCUGAGCCUAUAAGGGUGGAGAGGGGAGGUCCUUACAGACUGCUAAGGUUUUGCUGUUGUGUGCCUGUCUCUGCAGUUGGCACGAAGCCCAGCAGCUUCCUGUUUAGUUUCGUUUCGUUUCUCGCAGACUGGCUAGGAGGGUGUUGUUUCUGAAGCCAUGGCAGAGGCAGAGGAAGAAUUCAGAGCAGCUGCUGACCUGGAAGAUGAGCUCAGUUGCCCUAUCUGCCUGUGCUUCUACAGGAACCCGGUCUCCCUGAGCUGCCAUCACAGCUUCUGCAAGGAGUGCAUCCAGAAAGCACUGGCUGCCCAGCAGCAAGCCAAGGCCACCUACUCCUGUCCUAUGUGCAAGGUCCAGCUGGGGCCCUUUCUGGAGCUGCAUAAGAACUUCCAGCUCUGCAGCAUAGUGGAGAAGUUCCAGACCACCUCUUCAAAGGGAAAGCAGGGCAAGGAGAAGGCCUCUCCACAAGAGAAGGAGAUAAUCCCCUGUGAUUUCUGCCUGGACGAGCCUCACACAGCAGUGAAAACCUGUCUGACCUGUGAGGCAUCUCUGUGUCAGGCCCACCUGAGCAAACACAGUGCCAAGGCUGCACAGAAGGAUCAUGUCCUGGUAGAACCCAGUGACAACAGCUCCCUGCAGGAGAGGAAGUGUGGCGAACAUGGCAAGCUGCUAGAGUGCUACUGUGAAGAUGACCUGGUCUUUGUCUGCAUGAUGUGCUCUAUCACAGACUCCCACAAGGGCCACAACAUCAUCACCCUGAAGGAGGAGUACGACAAGAAGCUGGUUGUUCUCUCUCACACUGUGAAACUGAUGCAGGAAAACAAAAGUGCCAUGAAUAAAACCUUAGGGGAGCUUCAGAAGAGUGAGAAUCAGCUCCAGUUGAAUAAGAAAACUUUGAAUGCUCAGCUGUCAAACCUCUUCAAAGAGAUCAAGGCGGAGGUGGAUCAGAAGGAGAAGCAGAUCCUGGCUAACAUACAAUCCAGUGAGAAAAAGCAGCUGUCAGACAUUGCCACACUGAAGAAGCAAACAGAAAAGAAGAGAGAUGAGGCUGUGAAGGGUCUUCAGAACCUGCAGAUGCUGAGUGCGCAAACAGACCCUUUCUGCUUCCUCAGAGAAUUUAAACUGGCACAAGACAGGAUUAAUAAUCAGGAUUUCAGCACUGACAGUAUGGAAGUAUUAGCAUUGCAGCUGGAUCAGGCAACAAUUGCAGGUGUUAGAAGCCGGACACAGCAGUAUAUCUCAAACCUAGAUUCACUGAUGCAAGUGAUGCAAAGUCAAUUCAUUAACCAAACACAGAGGAACAGAGCAGCUCCAGACUUCAGAGAGAAUUUCCAUUUUCAAGGUAAGGGUUCAAAAAUAUUGUUGUUGCUCUUAAAGACUCUGGUCCAUAUCUCCUCUCUCCAGGGAAAGUAUCUCACCUGCAUUUUGUAUUGUGAAGCUCUUUCAGAUCUUCCUGUCAGAGGCGAGGCCAGUGGGAAUGCAGAGGACAGGUACAGGGCAUGCUCCUCAAAAUCUGCAACAGGCUGACAUCUGCUAGAAAACACACAGGAGACAUCCUGGAAUUUAGGCCUUAAGGAGGGAUUCUUCUGCUUCAGUGCUCCUUAGGGGCCUGAUCUAGCUCCCAGGAAAGACUAGGCAGACUCCCUUUGACUAUAACAGAAGGUGGAUGAAGUCUAUAAGGAUCAGGCCUGGUUACUGGGUUGCCACUGAAUAGUAAUGUGGGUGGGAAUAUAGGCUCAGAUUUCAAAAAGCAUCUGUGCAUUUGCAUGCCUACUUGAUGUGCAAAAUUAUUACUAUAACUGCCUUUUCUCUUUUACUGCAAAGUGAAUGAGGCAGUGCUGCUAUCUUCCCUCAUUCAGUGAGCACCUUAACAGCUUCUCAGUGAUUGAGGCAUUUCUGCUCCCUCCCCAUUACACAGCUAAGUUAGCCAUCCACAUGGAUGUUCAGUGCAGCCUUCUUUUCUUUAGCUACUCCCAUGAGGUUCUGCUCACUAGUGGGAGUAAAAGAUUUUUACUGUAUUGCCCUUUAUGCUUCAGAAAAUACAGGAGUGAGUUCAGAUUGACUCUUGUAAAGGAGAUGAGUCUAAUCCAAUGUUUCAUAAAAAACAAAAGCUAAGUAGCAAAAUGUUAACUCAAGCAUAUAAAGAUCUCGGUGAAAUGCUGGUCCCAGUGAAGCCAAGGGGGGCUUUACCAUUGACUUCAAUGAGGCCAAAAUUUCACCCCCUGAUCUUACAUCCAUGCUACUUUGUGCUGUUAUUUUUGUCAAAAUUUAUAAAUUUAGCAGGAUUAAGCCUACUAGAUAGGAGACUUCGAAGAAAAACCUAAGGGCUGCGGGACAUGAUGUUGGUGACUCGUAGCAUUCUCUUUCAGUUGCUACUAUUCCAAUGUCCAAACAGUGCAGCUGGUUGGAAAAUAGUGAGUUAUUUCUGUAAAAAUUUUUGCAAAAAAAAAUUAUUUUUACGGAUGUUUUCCAGGUGUGGGGCAAAAAAUAGAAAAUGGAAGCCUUUUCAGUUUUCUAACAAUGUUUCAUUGAAAACCCAGAACAUUUAAAAAAAAAUGAAAAUUUUCCUCAAAUUUUGGUUUAGGGGAAAAAAAGUCAUUUCCCAUCCAAACCUGUUUCUGAUGGAAAAAUGUCAGCCAGUUCUACUCAACAGGAUGGUGGUAACAUUUUAUUUCAACGGGGCUACGUGUAUGAUAGCUGCUCGCCAGUGGGAGGAAGGGUUCACAAUCUAGUCCUAAGUAUGAUUACAUUUCCCUGAAAUAUUUGGUUGUUUUGCCAGGUAAUCCGAACACUUUUUUCUUUAACAAAAAUUCGAUGUUUUCUGGAACUUCCGCAUUUUCAUGGAAAUAGACUGGGAACACAAGGCAGUGAAUGCAGAACAUACAAUGAAAGGAAAGGAUGUGGUGUCUGAAAUAGUGGUUCCAGCAAUGCGCAUGAUUCCCAGAAGUAAUAAAGAGACAUGAAAAAGUUGGGGAAACUGAGACAAAGAGAUUAAGUUCAACAUUUGCAAAAAUGCCCAUUAAUUCUGGGUACUUUUCAAGUGUCCCUGCCAGAAAAACUUCCUGCAGCAAAUAAAAAUAAAAUGAAUGCAGUAAAAAACCCAUGUUGCUUGGCCUUCUCCCUUUCUCACCAACACAUGGAAUGGCUUGUUUCAGAGUAUUUAUCCACCAAGCUAUAGUCGUGUCACCAGUGAUGUCUGACUAAAUAGUGGCUGUAUGUGUGUAAGCUUUUGACUUCUGUUCAAUGUGUUUUGAAGUAAUCAAAUAAAUGAUUAAAAACUUGUAAA